rnacentral:rRNA from 1 species
GAUGAACGCUGGCGGUGUGCCUAAUACAUGCAAGUCGAGCGAACAGAUGAGGAGCUUGCUCCUCUGACGUUAGCGGCGGACGGGUGAGUAACACGUGGAUAACCUACCUAUAAGACUGGGAUAACUUCGGGAAACCGGAGCUAAUACCGGAUAAUAUAUUGAACCGCACGGUUCAAUAGUGAAAGACGGUUUUGCUGUCACUUAUAGAUGGAUCCGCGCCGCAUUAGCUAGUUGGUAAGGUAACGGCUUACCAAGGCAACGAUGCGUAGCCGACCUGAGAGGGUGAUCGGCCACACUGGAACUGAGACACGGUCCAGACUCCUACGGGAGGCAGCAGUAGGGAAUCUUCCGCAAUGGGCGAAAGCCUGACGGAGCAACGCCGCGUGAGUGAUGAAGGUCUUCGGAUCGUAAAACUCUGUUAUUAGGGAAGAACAAAUGUGUAAGUAACUAUGCACGUCUUGACGGUACCUAAUCAGAAAGCCACGGCUAACUACGUG